rnacentral:rRNA from 1 species
GAUGAACGCUGGCGGCGUGCCUAAUACAUGCAAGUCGAGCGAACAGACGAGGAGCUUGCUCCUCUGACGUUAGCGGCGGACGGGUGAGUAACACGUGGAUAACCUACCUAUAAGUCUGGGAUAACUUCGGGAAACCGGAGCUAAUACCGGAUAAUAUAUUGAACCGCAUGGUUCAAUAGUGAAAGACGGUUUUGCUGUCACUUAUAGAUGGAUCCGCGCCGCAUUAGCUAGUUGGUAAGGUAACGGCUUACCAAGGCAACGAUGCGUAGCCGACCUGAGAGGGUGAUCGGCCACACCGGAACUGAGACACGGUCCAGACUCCUACGGGAGGCAGCAGUAGGGAAUCUUCCGCAAUGGGCGAAAGCCUGACGGAGCAACGCCGCGUGAGUGAUGAAGGUCUUCGGAUCGUAAAACUCUGUUAUUAGGGAAGAACAAAUGUGUAAGUAACUAUGCACGUCUUGACGGUACCUAAUCAGAAAGCCACAGCUAACUACGUG